GUUGCAGCAAGCUAGCUGGGAAGCUCCCAGUUCUAAAGAGAGGCUGUUUACCAGAAGAGCAUAACAAGGGCAGGUCUGACUGCAAGGCUGGGACCCAAGGCAGAGCUGCCGCCAAGUGACCCCCGCUGGACACUGGUUGUUCAAUAACCUGCAGGACGAAGAAGGCGAGGAUGCUGUUGGCCUGGGUACAUACAUUCCUUGUCAGCAACAUGCUCCUGGCAGAAGCCUAUGGAUCUGGAGACUGCUUCUGGGACAACGGCCACCUGUACCGGACGGACCAGCCCUCGCCCGCGCCAGGCCUCCGCUGCCUUAACUGGCUGGACGCGCAGAGCGGUCUGGCGUUUGCCCCAGAGUCGGGCGCCGGCAACCACAACUACUGCCGGAACCCGGACAGGGACCCGCGCGGGCCCUGGUGCUACGUCAGCAGCGAGGCCGGCGCCCCUGAGAAGCGGCCUUGCGAGAACCUGCACUGCCCAGAGACCACUUCCCAGGCCACGCCGCCAGCUUCCACCACAGAAACCCAGGAGGUGUCUGAAGUGCCAGGCGAAGAUGAGGUGCAGGUGUUCGCUCCUGCCAACGCCCUGCCCGCCCGGAGUGAGGCGGCAGCAGUGCAGCCAGUGAUUGGCAUCAGCCAGCGGGUGCGGAUGAACUCCAAGGAGAAAAAGGACCUGGGAACUCUGGGCUAUGUGCUGGGCAUUACCAUGAUGGUGAUCAUCAUCGUCAUUGGAGCUGGCAUCGUCUUGGGCUACACCUACAAGAGGGGGAAGGAUUUGAAAGAGCAGCAUGAGCAGAAAGUGUGUGAGAGGGAAAUGCAGCGAAUCACCCUGCCCUUGUCUGCCUUCACCAACCCCACCUGUGAGAUCGUGGAUGAGAAGAUUGUCGUGGUCCACACCAGCCAAACUCCAGUCGACCUUCAGGAGGGCAGCACCCCCCUUAUGGGCCAGGCUGGCACUCCCGGGGCCUGAGCUCCUGCAGUGGGCAGGAGCCCAAGCAGACACUAGUACAGGACAGCCCGCCCUCCUACAGCUAGGAGGAUCUACGUUUUGUGUUGUGGUUAAAACCCUACUCCCACUUUUUUUUUUUUUUUUUUUGGUGAAUCCUAAUAACUGACACAAGCAGGUGGCGCUGUGGGCUGAGGGUGAGGCUGGGUAGGGUCCUAUCAAUGCUCCUUCUCCAUCCCUUGGAGCAGGAUUUUGCCCAUGGAUGGACAGCGGCAGCUCCCACAGUGGUGCUGCUGACAGGGGCUUCCAAACAUUGCCUGCGUCCCUGGAACUGGAUGGGGGACAGAUGGGGAGCUCCUCCAGGCUCAUCUGUGCUUUACUAUCUAAGAUGGCCUCAGUGUCCACCUUUCCAUCAGUUCUCCUUGGGCUUGAGUGGUAUACACUGUUAUUCAUAGUUAAGGUCAAGCAGGUCAAGAGGCAGCAUUGAAAAAUAUAAGUAUUUGGGACAGAACUCCCUACUGACCUCUGAGAACCAGAAAUGACUUUAUACAAAAGUCAGAACUUUGGGCAGGGAAUGGGAUCUAGGCUGGGGGCUGAUGGGUGUGCUCCAGCUUACUGGCAGUGAUGUGCCUUGACAACCAUGGGCCAGGCCUGGGCCCACGGACUCUUCCUGUUUCAUGAGGAAAGAAAGGGAAGAAUUGCACUGAACAUUCUACUUACGAAGAGGGUAAAGAAGGAUCUGCUCCUGCCUUAGGCCAUAGGGGCAGAGGUGGAUCGAGGUGCCCCAGAUAGUACCUCUUCAGGGGGUGACUUCUCUUCAUACUGCACAGGACCCCACUAGCCAGAUAGCAUCAUCCUGCCCAAAGGUCACUCCACAACAUCCCCUGUGUGCAGAAGCAAGAAGAAACAGGUCUUCUCUCAAGCACUUAUAGGAAAAUACAAGAGGUACGGUGACUUGCAGUCACUUCUCCCCAUCAGGAAGGUGGUACCCAGCCCUGUGGAGAGAAAGCCCAGGAUACCCAGGCUGUAGAAGUGUCAAUAUACUAGGAGGUAGGGGUGUGGGGCUCCAAAGGAAUGGUUCAGCUGGCAGGUGGAAGCCAGGCAGGGCAGGUUUGGGGGACCAAGAUGAGAUCCCACAAAGGGGCAAACCUGUCCCAGGGAAGAGGCUGCCAUGCUCAGGUGGGAUGGGCAUGUUCUCUGGAGCAGGCUGGUAUCUGCAUGAGAGGGAAUUAGACUUGGGAGCAUGAGAGCUCCCUCUUGUGACGAGUUAUGUGGCCUGGGCCUGAAGGUGGCCAGCAAUCCCUCUAUAUUUAUGUCCCUAAGCCAGGCCCCAAGUCAUUUUUUUCACUCUCAGUGUCAUCACUUACGUUAACUGCUUAAUUUAUUUAGUCUGCUCAAUGGCCCAGCUUAGGCCCACCACUCCCACGCUUGCUGGGGACAACCAGCCACACAACACUGAUCCGUGCUGCUGCUGGGAGUCCAGGGCUCAACCCUACAGCAAGCUUGCAAACUCCACACGUAAGUACAGUCUAUAUAGGAAGUAAACUCUGUUCAGAGAUGACAUCUGAUCCCAUAACUCAUCAGGUCUAUGUACAAAUAGUUCACAUAUCACCUAAUAGAUACAACAAGAUAAUAUUAACAGCAACCACUCUCCUAGAUCACUCCACCUCCACCCACCCCCAAUACAACCACCACACAUUGCAUUAAUACCCAAACCCAUUCCCAAUUUGUAAGCUCACAGACACUUAGGAGGAGGCAAAUCUAGUUAUGCUGAAGAGUCCCUGGAGCUCUGGGAGCUAAGGUGGAGGGUGCACCCACGGCUUUCUAGUGCCUGUGGCUAUGGCUCAGGAGGUUGUGGCCAGGAGCUAGUGAGCAGGGCCAGCCAACAAGGGAGGUAGAAGCCAGAUAGCCUAACUCAGGGAGCUAUUUCUCAGCAUCUCAGCUCUGGGACUCUGCCACCAUCUCUUUCCAGCUGAAGUUGCUGUCUAGACCUGGCAUGUCGAAAGGUUAGCAGUGGCUGCCACACGGACAAGAGAUUGCUGAGACUCCCAUUCCCCUGCCUCAGACUCUUAGGCCUGUGACAAGCCACACUGUCCUCCAGGACCCAUCUAGCUUUAGGUAAAAUGUCUCUGGCUUCUGACUGAGGAGCCCAGCCGGGUAUGAGUAACAGCAGCCACGAUAUGAGCUUUUUAGAGAGCAAGGCCUCUUUUCAGCUUCUUCCUGUGCUUGUGGGUGAUUGCUUGUUGCAGACAAAAAAGAUGUUGCCCAGAUGUUCUUAGGCAGUCUCUAGUAGGAUAGUUUGAGAACAUGAGGUGGAAGCUCCCCUCACAUUGAUGUGGUCCCUAGGCUGGGUAAAGCCACCCCCCGGGCAGGCAAGCAGAAACCAGCCCAUUCCUUGACUCCUGGCCAGUUCUACCACAUACUAAGGGACUCUUCAAAAUCUAUUCCUUCAACCUCCACCUCAGGGAGGGUGAGACCUGGAGUGGAAGGGGGGAGCAGCACUGUCAUUUCACACUCUUCCAGUGCCAUCUGGCCACCAGUCUUUGUCUCAUCCACACUCCCACUUGAAAUCCUCCUAUACCCAGCUGGAUUGGAGACUUCAGAACCCAGAGGCAGGUUCACCCUGGGAUCCUGCCCAGCAGGUCCAGGUCACGCUGAUUACUAUAAGCAAGAGCCUCCCAGAAUCCCAAUGCCAGGGAGUUCCUGAGUGGUCCCAAGUAACAGAAUCUUCCUGGCCCAGAGGACAGGCUUUUGUUCUUCUUCACAGCUUUCAGACAAGUCUUGGAUUUACAGACAAUAACCAGGCCUCAAAACCUGUGGAGAUAUGCUUCCCUAGUGCUGCGCCCGCUCGCCUCCUGGGGAGGUAGUAGGGAUGACUUGUUCUGCUUCUAAACAAGAUGCCAAUCCACAGGAAGCCUGGACGGCCCUGCUCAUAGCAGGGAUGAGGCACAGAGGGGGCAAUGCUGCUGUGGAACACCCCCCUGCAGGGGGCUGGGCUGGGGCUAGGGGGGUGAGUCCCGGGUCAGGCCGUACUGCAUGCUCACAGUGUGGUCCAGCUCCUCCAGCUCUGCAGGCAAUGGAAUGCCCAGCUCUCCCAGGUACAGGGAGAGGGCCUCAAAGGAGUCCUCCAGUUUUGAGAAUGCUGGUCUAGAAAGAAAAGGGGUGAAUUAGAAGCAGGUGGAAUAUGAGCAGGGCCAUGGGGUGGUGUGUGGAAGGAAUCCAGGCCUGCGGCUCAUACACAUUUCCUGGUGUAUGAUCUCAGGCAAACCCCUUAACCUUGUUGUGCGUCUGUGAGAAAUGGGCAUAAUGCAAUGUUACUGUUUCCUCAGAAGGUUGCUGUAAAAAUCAAAGGUAACACUGUGAGAUGGCUAGUUUGGCUAAAGGUGGUAGCUUAAAAAAAAAAAAAAAUAGGAGAAAAGAGGCCCCUCCCAUGUCUUAGAGAAAAUGCAAUCAUCAAAGGUAGGAUUGGACUAAGUGCCUUUUUACUUUUUUUAAUUUUUAAAUUUCUUUCUAAGUGCCUUUUUAAAGAACAUUUCCAGUCCUAAGACUUGCUGUUUCCACACCAAUGGAUCUGCCCAGGAAGUAUUACAAAGA